CAUUCAAAUUAAUUUCCAUCGGGACACGACUUAAUUAAGCUGCUGAAGCGCCCACUAACUUUGGAUGUCGCCUAAACCUUCAGAUGGAAUCCUUGCAGGCAUUCCCGUGGGGAUUGGGAAAUUGCAGUAUGCCGGAACUACCGUUGCUGAUGUGGGGCGAGCGCUCUGAAGUGCACUUGGAGAAGGACGCAUUCCAAUCCCGCAUAUAUGAAAAGUUUAAUAUUUUAGACAGCUAGAUGAAAUGCUGGGGUCUUGGUGCAUUUUGCUUUGGCGGUCCAGGCUUUGAACAUCUUAGGGAAAUGUUUGGAAAUGAAUUUUAUUUUCACAACUGUGAUACAAUUACAAGGCGGGGAUGUUUCAGUCUUCUCAACGAGGUGCCCUUGGUGGUGGUGGUCUGUAAAUGGCUACAGAACUGACAGAGAACUCUGCAAGCAUUUUCUUCGCCCCAUUUGCCCAGUCUGCCCGCCUCUGUGAUCCCCCGCAGCACUGGCUGGAAGUCCGCCGCGUGUCAGUGAGGAGCUGCUGCAGAAGGAAGAAGAAGAAGCGGCGUGGGGACCUGGGAGGCAGGAGCAAGCAAGAAGAGGAAGCGGAAGCGUGCAGAUGCGGGGGGAAGGAGAGAGGCUCCCUGGGCAAAGCACCUGUCCCGUUAGCAGGGGCACAGUCACGUUUGAGUUGAGAGC
ensembl:lncRNA